rnacentral:tRNA from 1 species
GGCCCAGUGGCUCAAUUGAUUAAGCAUUUGCGUUUUAAGCUUAAGGUUGUGGGUUCAAAUCCCACUUAAACCA